rnacentral:rRNA from 1 species
UACAGAGGAGCCAAGCGUUGUCCGGAUUGACUGGGCGUAAAGCGCACGCAGGCGGAUGCGCGCGUGGGGUGUGAAAUCUGGCCGCUUAACGGCCAGGCGCCAUCCCAUACGGCGCGUCUGGAGUGAUGCAGAGGUCGGUGGAAUUGCCGGUGUAGCGGUGAAAUGCGUAGAUAUCUGGAGGAACACCGGUGGCGAAGGCGGCAUCCUGGACCGACACUGACGCUGAGGAGCGAAAGCCAGGGGAGCAAACGGG